UACCCGGUAGUGUAACGGUAGCACAACAGAUUUUGGUUCUGUUUGUCAAGGUUCGAAUCCUUGCCGGGUAA
rnacentral:tRNA from 1 species